rnacentral:rRNA from 1 species
GAUGAACGCUGGCGGCGUGCCUAAUACAUGCAAGUCGAGCGAACAGACGAGGAGCUUGCUCCUCUGACGUUAGCGGCGGACGGGUGAGUAACACGUGGAUAACCUACCUAUAAGACUGGGAUAACUUCGGGAAACCGGAGCUAAUACCGGAUAAUAUAUUGAACCGCAUGGUUCAAUAGUGAAAGACGGUUUUGCUGUCACUUAUAGAUGGAUCCGCGCCGCAUUAGCUAGUUGGUAAGGUAACGGCUUACCAAGGCAACGAUGCGUAGCCGAACUGAGAGGGUGAUCAGCCACACUGGCACUGGGACACGGUCCAGACUCCUACGGGAGGCAGCAGUAGGGAAUCUUCCGCAAAGGGCGAAAGCUUGACGGAGCAACGCCGCGUGAGUGAUGAAGGUCUUCGGAUCGUAAAACUCUGUUAUUAGGGAAGAACAAAUGUGUAAGUAACUAUGCACGUCUUGACGGUACCUAAUCAGAAAGCCACGGCUAACUACGUG